rnacentral:rRNA from 1 species
CAGGAGCGCACCCACCCGACGUAGGGGAGCGCGCCGGGUCGAGCCGGCUGCCGGGUCGGGUCGGCCGGUCCGACCGCCUCCUGCUCUGGUAGUAAUAGUCGCCGUCGCCGCCGGCGAAAGGAGGUGUGUGUGUGUGUGUGGUAAUAAAAGGGGAGGGAGGAGGACUGGCGGGUGGGUGGAUGGUCGGUGGCUCCGCCGGCUAGGGGGGAGGGGUCGGCGCGGCGCGGUGGCGGUGGCGGCGGCGGCCGUCGGCAAGCAGGGCUCUAACUGGAAACCACUGACAAUCUUUGGUGUCCGCCACUUCUACCGCGUCGGACGAUUCGAAAGGGCACUCCUCUUACACAUGUACCGAUUCGAACGUCUCGUCCGACUCUCCAUGCUUCUCUACCAGCUCAAGUACCUCUUCCACCGGUUCUGUCAACUGAGGCUCCUCGAGUGGCAGCUCCUCGCGUUGGAAGACAGUCAACGAAUGUUCUUACAAUAACCACGGGCGGCACGGAGCACCGCGUAGUAAAGGAGGUAGCUCGUCUUCCUUCUCUCGGCACCGUUGCUCCUGGCACAGUGUGAGUAGUUCCUGAUGGCACCUUUCUAACUCCAACUCGAGUGAUUCUAGACACUACCAUAGGAGUUCGAAGAACUAAGGGUGGAACAGGGGAGUAGGUGGCGAGGUCUCAGGUUCCAGAAGAUGGACUUCUACUUCCCACUAAUGAUAUCCAUGGAACGUCUCAAGUUCUCACCUUGACUCUCCUUCCUACGACGACUCUUGUGGUACCACCGUAUGUUUCGACGAGUCCUCUAACGUGACUUUCUCGACGGGGGCUGAGUAGGAUAAUCCGAACCCGACCGUGAGUUGAAGAGCCACAAGAUAAUACUCUAGGAGUUGAGAGGUCUGGCACGAACACUGGAGCGGUUCGUCCGAAAACUACUCCGAUAGAGUCUUGACCUGAGAGACUCGCUCCUCAGCAUGUUCCUGUCGUGAAACUAGUACGUCGAAGACGCACUAUUGGACUGCGACACCUGAAGCCUGUAGAGCCUCCUGCGACGACUUCUUUACUUCCUACGAGGGUUCCCACUUAGACCUCUACCUGUCAUUUGUGACAGAUACACGGGUCUUUGAACAGAAAGAGCGAACAAGUCACAUCUAACAUUACAGCAGCACCAACAACCAUUAACCUCCGAGGUUAAACACAACACUAUCCCUUCGAACAUCGACGGAACGAACGAGCCGCCGGACUAAUAGCCCGACGUGACCAAUAACGGAGAACAACUUGGAAACACAAUGAAAACCACCAAAAUCUUUAAAAGACGACGAGAACAAACACUGGGGGACGGAAACAUAAGUGAUCUACUGGUCAACGCGGUUACCGCGUUUCCGGCUCUCAUUCGGUACAUAACUUUCUUACAUGUAAUUAUAAUAAGCCCGUGUAUAACUUUGUAUACUUUUAUUCAUAAAUAACGACCAUCUAUCUACGAAUCACUACUAUGUAUUACAAGAUUCUUCCAAUGCUAAUU